AACGAACGCUGGCGGCAGGCCUAACACAUGCAAGUCGAGCGCACCUUCGGGUGAGCGGCGGACGGGUUAGUAACGCGUGGGAACAUACCCUUUUCUACGGAAUAGCCUCGGGAAACUGAGAGUAAUACCGUAUAAGCCCUUCGGGGGAAAGAUUUAUCGGGAAAGGAUUGGCCCGCGUUAGAUUAGAUAGUUGGUGGGGUAAUGGCCUACCAAGUCUACGAUCUAUAGCUGGUUUUAGAGGAUGAUCAGCAACACUGGGACUGAGACACGGCCCAGACUCCUACGGGAGGCAGCAGUGGGGAAUCUUAGACAAUGGGCGCAAGCCUGAUCUAGCCAUGCCGCGUGUGUGAUGAAGGUCUUAGGAUCGUAAAGCACUUUCGCCAGGGAUGAUAAUGACAGUACCGUGGUAAAGAAACCCCGCUAACU
rnacentral:rRNA from 1 species